rnacentral:miRNA from 1 species
UUAGGUUAGUGCAAAAGUAAUUGUGGUUUUUGCCAUUGAAAGUAAUGGCAAAAACUGCAAUUUUGCACCAAUCUAAUA